UUAACAAAAACAUGUCCUUUUGAUAAUAAUUUAAGGUCUAACCUGCCCACUGAAUUUUAAAUGGCCGCGGUAUUUUGACCGUGCAAAGGUAGCAUAAUCAUUAGUUUUUUAAUUGAAAGCUGGAAUGAAUGGUUGAAUGAGAAAGCAGCUGUCUCAGAUUUAUUUUUUUAGAAUUUUAUAUUUAAGUCAAAAAGCUUAAAUUUAAUUAAAAGACGAGAAGACCCUAUAGAAUUUUAUAUGAAUUACUUUAAUUAUUAGUAGAUUUGGGUUAUUUUUAAUUUAAUUUUAUAUUUUGUUGGGGUGACAGAAAAAUUUAAGGAACUUUUUUUGAAUUUUUUCACUAAUUAGUGUUUAUUUGAUCCAAUGGAUUUUGAUUAUAAGAAUAAAUUACCUUAGGGAUAACAGCGUAAUUUUUUUUGAGAGUUCUUAUCGAAAAAGAAGAUUGCGACCUCGAUGUUGGAUUAAAGUUUAUUUAUGGUGCAGAAGCUAUAAGAUUGGGUCUGUUCGACCCUUGAAACUUUACAUGAUCUGAGUU
rnacentral:rRNA from 1 species